GCGGAGGCUGAAACAGCUCCUGACCAGGGCGUUCGUACUGCACGUUUGACGGUCUUGAAAACCGUCGUGGCAGCGAUGUCACCGUGGGUUCAAAUCCCACACCCACCGCG
rnacentral:tRNA from 2 species